rnacentral:rRNA from 1 species
AUACGUAGGUGGCAAGCGUUGUCCGGAAUUAUUGGGCGUAAAGCGCGCGCAGGCGGUCCUUUAAGUCUGAUGUGAAAGCCCACGGCUCAACCGUGGAGGGUCAUUGGAAACUGGGGGACUUGAGUGCAGAAGAGGAAAGUGGAAUUCCAAGUGUAGCGGUGAAAUGCGUGGAGAUUUGGAGGAACACCAGUGGCGAAGGCGACUUUCUGGUCUGUAACUGACGCUGAGGCGCGAAAGCGUGGGGAGCAAACAGGAUUAGAUACCCUGGUAGUCCACGCCGUAAACGAUGAGUGCUAAGUGUUAGGGGGUUUCCGCCCCUGAGUGCUGCAGCUAACGCAUUAAGCACUCCGCCUGGGGAGUACGGUCGCAAGACUGAAACUUAAAUGAAUUGACGGGG